rnacentral:SRP_RNA from 1 species
UGCUGGUUCCCUCGCAACGAUAAGACGCGAACCCCGCCAGGCCCGGAAGGGAGCAACGGUAGUGUCCGACUCGUGUGCCGAGAUGUGGCUGGCAGGU